rnacentral:rRNA from 1 species
CGUAGCCGCGGGAAUACGAAGGGGGCUAGCGUUGUUCGGAAUUACUGGGCGUAAAGCGCACGUAGGCGGAUAUUUAAGUCAGGGGUGAAAUCCCAGAGCUCAACUCUGGAACUGCCUUUGAUACUGGGUAUCUUGAGUAUGGAAGAGGUGAGUGGAAUUCCGAGUGUAGAGGUGAAAUUCGUAGAUAUUCGGAGGAACACCAGUGGCGAAGGCGGCUCACUGGUCCAUUACUGACGCUGAGGUGCGAAAGCGUGGGGAGCAAACAGGAUUAGAUACCCCCGUAGUCCCUGUCUCUUAUACA